rnacentral:snoRNA from 1 species
AUGCCGUGAUGUGGGCAUUCCCUUUGAUAUUCCUUAAACCGGUCCCAUACCUCAAACAAAGACUCAUCUCUUUUGCUCGAAUGAUUGGAUCUUGUUUCUAUACUC